UGCUCUUGUGGCGGAAUUGGUAGACGCACUAGUCUUAGAAACUAGUACUUAAGUAAUGUGGGUUCAAUUCCCACCGAGAGCAA
rnacentral:tRNA from 1 species